UACGUAGGGUGCCAGCGUUAAUCAGAAUUACUGGGCGUAAAGCGUGCGCAGGCGGUUAUGCAAGACAGAUGUGAAAUCCCCGGGCUCAACCUGGGAACUGCAUUUGUGACUGCAUAGCUAGAGUACGGUAGAGGGGGAUGGAAUUCCGCGUGUAGCAGUGAAAUGCGUAGAUAUGCGGAGGAACACCGAUGGCGAAGGCAAUCCCCUGGACCUGUACUGACGCUCAUGCACGAAAGCGUGGGGAGCAAACAGG
rnacentral:rRNA from 1 species